rnacentral:rRNA from 1 species
UACGGGGGGUGCGAGCGGUAUUCGGAAUUAUUGGGCGUAAAGGGCGCGCAGGCGGUUGAAUAAGUCAGGUGUGAAAGUCCUUGGCUUAACCAAGGAAGUGCAUUUGAUACUAGUUGACUUGAGUAUGGGAGAGGGAAGUGGAAUUCCUGGUGUAGAGGUGAAAGUCGUAGAUAUCAGGGGGAACACCGGUGGCGAAAGCGACUUCCUGGACCAAUACUGACCCUGAGGCGAGAAGGCGUGGGGAGCAAACAGG